CCUACGAGUGGCAGCAGUGGGGAAUAUUUGGCAAUGGGCGCAAGCCUGAUCCCGCAACGCCGCGUUAAUGCAGAAGGCUUUCGGGUUGUAAACUUCUUUUCUCAGGUCCGAAGCAAGUGACGGUACCUUAUGAAUCAGCCACGGCUAACUCCGUGCCAGCAGCCGCGUUCAUCCGUAGGUGGCAAGCGUUAUCCGGAUUUACUGUGUGUAAAGUGCGUGAAGGCGGGGAGGCAAGUCAGCGGUGAAAACCACGGGCUAAACCUGGGUCCUGCAUUUGAAACUUUGUGUCUUGAGUUCUGGAGAGGGAGACGGAAUUCCAGGUGUAGCGGUGAAAUGCGUAGAUAUAAGGAGGAAAACCAGUGGCGAAGGCGGUCCGCUGGACAGCAACUGACGCUGAGGCGCGAAAGCGUGGGGAGCAAACAGGAUUAGAUACCCCUGUAGUC
rnacentral:rRNA from 1 species